rnacentral:rRNA from 1 species
GACGAACGCUGGCGGCGUGCUUAACACAUGCAAGUCGAACGGAAAGGCCCUGCUUUUGUGGGGUGCUCGAGUGGCGAACGGGUGAGUAACACGUGAGUAACCUGCCCUUUACUUUGGGAUAACUUCAGGAAACUGGGGCUAAUACCGGAUAGGAGCUCCUGCUGCAUGGUGGUGGUUGGACAGUUUCGGCGGUUGGGGAUGGACUCGCGGCUUAUCAGCUUGUUGGUGGGGUAGUGGCUUACCAAGGCUUUGACGGGUAGCCGGCCUGAGAGGGUGACCGGCCACAUUGGGACUGAGAUACGGCCCAGACUCCUACGGGAGGCAGCAGUGGGGAAUAUUGCACAAUGGGCGGAAGCCUGAUGCAGCAACGCCGCGUGCGGGAUGAAGGCCUUCGGGUUGUAAACCGCUUUCGCCUGUGACGAAGCGUGAGUGACGGUAAUGGGUAAAGAAGCACCGGCUAACUACGUG